rnacentral:tRNA from 1 species
GCCGCGGUGGUGAAACAGGCAGACACAAGGGACUUAAAAUCCCUCGGUAGCAAUACCAUGCGAGUUCGAUUCUCGCCCGCGGCACCA